rnacentral:rRNA from 1 species
GUAAGGAAUAUUGCGCAAUGGGCGAAAGCCUGACGCAGCGACGCCGCGUGGGGGAUGAAGGUCUUCGGAUUGUAAACCCCUUUCGGGAGGGAAGAUGGGAUGGGGUAACCCAUUCGGACGGUACCUCCAGAAGCAGCCACGGCUAACUUCGUGCCAGCAGCCGCGGUAAUACGAAGGUGGCAAGCGUUGUUCGGAUUUACUGGGCGUACAGGGAGCGUAGGCGGUUGGGUAAGCCCUCCGUGAAAUCUCCAGGCUUAACCUGGAAAGUGCAGAGGGGACUGCUCAGCUAGAGGAUGGGAGAGGAGCGCGGAAUUCCCGGUGUAGCGGUGAAAUGCGUAGAGAUCGGGAGGAAGGCCGGUGGCGAAGGCGGCGCUCUGGAACAUUUCUGACGCUGAGGCUCGAAAGCGUGGGGAGCAAACAGGAUUAGAAACCCUAGUAGUCC